rnacentral:lncRNA from 1 species
GUUGCUUUUGCAAAUUGCAAAUUUGAGAAUGCAGUGAACCUGAUCAUGCGGAAUUUCGUCGCCAACAACCUGUCAGAUAGCCCUUCGAAUAAAUUGCUAAAACCACGUGAGACCGCCUUCGUCACCAAAAAGUCUUUCCAACUCUGGUUGGUACUUCAAUUCAGAGCCUCUAUUCAAUGUCAUUUGGUGGCUAAAGUUUC